GGGAUUGCCCUAGUAACGGCGAGUGAAGCGGCAACAGCUCAAAUUUGAAAUCUGGCUCUUUUAGGGUCCGAGUUGUAAUUUGCAGAGGGCGCUUUGGCUUUGGUAGCGGUCCAAGUUCCUUGGAACAGGACGUCACAGAGGGUGAGAAUCCCGUACGUGGUCGCUAGCUAUUGCCGUGUAAAGCCCCUUCGACGAGUCGAGUUGUUUGGGAAUGCAGCUCUAAAUGGGAGGUAAAUUUCUUCUAAAGCUAAAUAUUGGCCAGAGACCGAUAGCGCACAAGUAGAGUGAUCGAAAGAUGAAAAGCACUUUGGAAAGAGAGUCAAACAGCACGUGAAAUUGUUGAAAGGGAAGCGCUUGCAGCCAGACUUGCUUGCAGUUGCUCAUCCGGGCUUUUGCCCGGUGCACUCUUCUGUAGGCAGGCCAGCAUCAGUUUGGGCGGUGGGAUAAAGGUCUCUGACACGUUCCUUCCUUCGGGUUGGCCAUAUAGGGGAGAUGUCAUACCACCAGCCUAGACUGAGGUCCGCGCAUCUGCUAGGAUGCUGGCGUAAUGGCUGUAAGCGGCCCGUCUUGAAACACGGACCAAGGAGUCUAACAUCUAUGCGAGUGUUUGGGUGUCAAGCCCGAGCGCGUAAUGAAAGUGAACGGAGGUGGGAACCCGCAAGGGCGCACCAUCGACCGAUCCUGAAGUUUACGGAAGGAUUUGAGUAAGAGCAUGGCUGUUGGGACCCGAAAGAUGGUGAACUAUGCUUGAAUAGGGUGAAGCCAGAGGAAACUCUGGUGGAGGCUCGCAGCGGUUCUGACGUGCAAAUCGAUCGUCAAAUUUGGGCAUAGGGGCGAAAGACUAAUC
rnacentral:rRNA from 1 species